CAGCCGGUGGUGUAGUGGCUUGCACGCGACACUGUGACCGUCGCGGGACGGGUUCGAAUCCCGUCCGGCUGCC
rnacentral:tRNA from 1 species